rnacentral:rRNA from 1 species
CCUACGGGAGGCAGCAGUGGGGAAUCUUGGACAAUGGGGGAAACCCUGAUCCAGCAAUGCCGCGUGUGGGAUGAAGGCCCUCGGGUUGUAAACCACUUUUGGCAGGAAAGAAAUCGCCUGUGCUAAUACCAUGGGUGGAUGACGGUACCUGCAGAAUAAGCACCGGCUAACUACGUGCCAGCAGCCGCGGUAAUACGUAGGGUGCGAGCGUUAAUCGGAAUUACUGGGCGUAAAGCGUGCGCAGGCGGUUUUGUAAGACAGAUGUGAAAUCCCCGGGCUU